rnacentral:rRNA from 1 species
CCCUUAGAUGUUCUGGGCCGCACGCGUGCUACACUGAGUGGAUCAGCGGGUCAGGUUGCGCGAAAGCGUUUCCUAAUCUUUAAAUCCGCUCGUGAUGGGGAUUGACGGUUGCAAUUUUCUGUCAUGAACGAGGAAUACCUUGUAAGCGCGGGUCAUCAUCCCGCGCUGAAUACGUCCCUGCCCUUUGUACACACCGCCCGUCGCUCCUACCGAUUGAGUGGUCCGGUGAGGCUUUGGGAUCUGAGCGGAAAGAGCGUUUCGCUGUUUCUGCUCGGAAAUCUCAGUCGAACCUUAUCAUUUAGAGGAAGGAGAAGUCGUAACA